rnacentral:rRNA from 1 species
UGGCUCAGGACGAACGCUGGCGGCGUGCUUAACACAUGCAAGUCGAGCGGUAAGGCCUUUCGGGGUACACGAGCGGCGAACGGGUGAGUAACACGUGGGUGAUCUGCCCUGCACUCUGGGAUAAGCUUGGGAAACUGGGUCUAAUACCGGAUAUGACUACAGCAUGCAUGUGUUGUGGUGGAAAGAUUUAUCGGUGCAGGAUGGGCCCGCGGCCUAUCAGCUUGUUGGUGGGGUAAUGGCCUACCAAGGCGACGACGGGUAGCCGACCUGAGAGGGUGACCGGCCACACUGGGACUGAGACACGGCCCAGACUCCUACGGGAGGCAGCAGUGGGGAAUAUUGCACAAUGGGCGGAAGCCUGAUGCAGCGACGCCGCGUGAGGGAUGAAGGCCUUCGGGUUGUAAACCUCUUUCAGCAGGGACGAAGCGUGAGUGACGGUACCUGCAGAAGAAGCACCGGCUAACUACGUGCCAGCAGCCGCGGUAAUACGUAGGGUGCGAGCGUUGUCCGGAAUUACUGGGCGUAAAGAGUUCGUAGGCGGUUUGUCGCGUCGUUUGUGAAAACCCGGGGCUCAACUUCGGGCUUGCAGGCGAUACGGGCAGACUUGAGUGUUUCAGGGGAGACUGGAAUUCCUGGUGUAGCGGUGAAAUGCGCAGAUAUCAGGAGGAACACCGGUGGCGAAGGCGGGUCUCUGGGAAACAACUGACGCUGAGGAACGAAAGCGUGGGUAGCAAACAGGAUUAGAUACCCUGGUAGUCCACGCCGUAAACGGUGGGCGCUAGGUGUGGGUUCCUUCCACGGGAUCUGUGCCGUAGCUAACGCAUUAAGCGCCCCGC